GAUGAAGAACGUAGCGAAAUGCGAUACGUAAUGAGAAUUGCAAAUUCAGUGAAUCAUCGAGUCUUUGAACGCACAUUGCGCCCCCUGGUAUUCCGGGUGGCAUGCCUGUCCGAGCGUCAUUGCUGCCCUCAAGCACGGCUUGUGUGUUGGGCCCCGUCCUCCGAUCCCGGGGGACGGGCCCGAAAGGCAGCGGCGGCACCGCGUCCGGUCCUCGAGCGUAUGGGGCUUUGUCACCCGCUCUGUAGGCCCGGCCGGCGCUUGCCGAUCAACCCAAAUUUUUAUCCAGGUUGACCUCGGAUCAGGUAGGGAUACCCGCUGAACUUAAGCAUAUCAAUAAGCGGAGGA
rnacentral:misc_RNA from 1 species